rnacentral:rRNA from 1 species
UACGGAGGGUGCAAGCGUUAUCCGGAUUUACUGGGUUUAAAGGGUGUGUAGGCGGACUUUUAAGUCCGUGGUGAAAUCUCCGGGCUCAACCCGGAAACUGCCAUGGAUACUAUUGGUCUUGAAUAUUGUUGAGGUGGGCGGAACGGGUCAUGUAGCGGUGAAAUGCAUAGAUAUGACCCGGAACACCGGAUUGCGAAGGCAGCCCACUAAGCAAUGAUUGACGCUGAGGCACGAAAGCGUGGGGAUCAAACAGG